rnacentral:misc_RNA from 1 species
GAUGAAGAACGUAGCGAAAUGCGAUAAGUAAUGUGAAUUGCAGAAUUCAGUAAAUCAUCGAAUCUUUGAACGCACAUUGCGCCCGCCAGUAUUCUGGCGGGCAUGCCUGUUCGAGCGUCAUUACAACCCUCAGGCCCCCGGGCCUGGCGUUGGGGAUCGGCGGAGCGCCCCCUGCGGGCACACGCCGUCCCCCAAAUACAGUGGCGGUCCCGCCGCAGCUUCCAUUGCGUAGUAGCUAACACCUCGCAACUGGAGAGCGGCGCGGCCACGCCGUAAAACACCCAACUUCUGAAUGUUGACCUCGAAUCAGGUAGGAAUACCCGCUGAACUUAAGCAUAUCAAUAAGCGGAGGA